rnacentral:misc_RNA from 1 species
UGACGGACGUUUGUGUCAGAUCUGGUCGCCGGCAGCGUCGAAUGUAAUGGACUUCUCAUUGCCAUCUAUGGCUGAUUGACUAUCUAUAAUAGGAGACGACACGUCUUCCAUCGACCACGCUGUUUUUCACCUCCUCUUCUGACACAAUCCAUUGUGAUGUCUUGGUUCUGUCAAUGCCGCCGCGCGCACACAAAACUGGUGGCUGGCGCAAGAAUCUUCCAGGCCCUUUGGUACAUAGCGGCUCUUUCCACUUCCUUUUAUUCUUCAUCAAUCAGAAUUCUCUCUUCUUCCUCUUUUCAACAAGAGAAAAGGAAGAUAAUUGACAGAAUUCUUUCUGUCUUUCAGACGAUCCGUCGAUAUUUCAAAAUUGGAACCCUUUAAGAGACGUCCAACUCUCGUCUGGGUAAUUUAAAUAUUUAAAAGAAGUAAAACUAGAAAAAUCCAGGUACAUUCCACUAUGUUGGCGAGCCGAUGUACGGGGUCCGAUUAUCAAAACCGGAGCGUUGUUUUUCUUCUUAAGAACCGGGGAAGAGGCUCAUCAUUAAUUUAUCUGACGUGAGUCACGAUGAGACAAAUUCCGGUCGUCAGUGUUGUGGUUCAAUGGACGACGACACCGUUAAGUUUUGAGCUAGCUCCCAUGAAAGUUGCAUGCAGUUUGCUUUGAGUGCAGAUCGCCUCCAGGGUCCAUUAGGAGUGGAUGGGACAUUGACGCUGGCCGCACACAAUGGGCUCUUCCCCCGCCGCAUUGUAUCGAGCAGGAAAUGGAUUUGUAAAAGGAUGUCUUCCAAACGCAAAAGUCCUCCUUCCAAACUGUCGACCGACGAACUGAAGAAUGGUCCUUUAGAGAUCCAAUUCGACAGCAGCGAAGACGACAGUAAGACUUUCCUGCAGGAAGACGACCUGUUGACGGAAUGCGACGCGGAGUCCACCGACAGUGGUAGCAAACCCCCUCCAGAAUUGCCCACUGAUUCCGAAUACGAUACCGACAGUUGUCACAAUUUGACGACCGAUCCCCUCCAUCCUCGCCAAGAAAUCCGGGCUGGCAAGCGUUCCAUGGAUGAUGUCCUUAAGCGCCUCACUUCCAAAUUCAACAAUGGCACGGCCGUUCAGGAGAGUGCCGAUCAACACUGCCAAGUUUUAUCUUCGGCUAGUGCGCCCGGAAACGAAGGAAAUCAAAUGAACCACAUUCACCCCCUGAUGCUGUUAGAUAGCGAGCCUUUCCGGACGGCUCUGGCCGGAGAUAGCCUCCGAGAGAAGGAAAAGCGGCUGACGGAGAUGAUCAAUCAGUUGCAACAAUUGAGGGAACAAUUGCUCUUCCAGCAAAGGCAACAAUCUCAGAGUUGUCAAGAAGAAGCGCAGCAUCGGGACGUACAAAGAAAGCAGCGGGAACAGAUCGAGAAACAACAACAGCAACUGGCUCAGCAGCAGCAUAGAAUACAAGAGCUGCAGAAUCGCCUGAAUGGGCACUACAUCGCCGCUUCCAGCAAACCCCUAUCUCCUGCCCUGUCCACCAUACCUCCUCAAGGCUUGAUGUUCAUGCCGGUUUUCGACAGUGGACUGGCCAGUGCGGCCGCUCCGGUGGCCGGACUGACGACAUCGGCGCCCCCGUUACCCCCGACGGUGCCCUCGAGACAGAUGUCUCCCAACUUGGCAUCGCAACUCGUGUCAGUAGCCAUGGGCGAUACGCCACCAACGAUCUCUCUGACCUCGUGGAUGUCACAUCCCGUUUUGCCUGUCACUAGUACUUCCUUGUCGCCUUCCUCCCUCAACGCUUCUUCAAACUGCGUUUCCAGAAAUCAGGUGUCCGGACAGGAAUCUGAUGCCCCUCUCAAUCUAUCUAAACCCAAAUGUGCGUCGAUGGGCAGCAACUGUAGCAGUACCAGUUGCAGUCCUUCUCCACAGACUAGUUUACGACACGAAUCUGCACCGCCUUCCUUACCCUUGUGCCCUACUGCUUUGAUACAAUCCGUUUCCGGUUCCUCCACCCUUCCCGUAGCGUCACAGUUCAUGACUGCUUCUCCCCAUUAUAGCCAUAUAACAACUCAUUUGAGAACGUCUUUCUCUGCCUCUGAUCUUAUUGGGCAUUCAGUAACUCCGAACAAAGAUACAAUUCGCCCUCUCUUGGGUAACGAAUGCAGUGACUUCACCGUUUACAUGAAUACGACGCGGAAGGAUACUAUCGAUACCAGCGAGAAAAAAAGUGAAAAUGUCAUUAAUUGUCAAAGUAAAAUUCUCGGAGCCAAAAUUAUUCGACAAACUAAAAAGGACAGCGAUGGCAAACCGCACAUAAAAAGGCCUAUGAAUGCGUUCAUGGUAUGGGCGAAAGACGAAAGGAGGAAGAUCUUGAAAGCGUGCCCAGAUAUGCAUAAUUCGAACAUAUCCAAAAUUUUAGAGCAUUUUUCGUUCAGGUGCAAGAUGGAAAGCCAUGUCCAAUACGGAAAAGCAACCGUAUUACGAAGAACAAUCGCGCUUGAGCAAACUACACAUGGAGAAACACCCCGAUUACAGAUACAGGCCAAGACCUAAGAGAACAUGCAUCGUAGACGGAAAGAAGUUGAGAAUAUCGGAAUAUAAACAGAUUAUGAGGAAUCGUCGACAAGAAAUGAAGAGCCUCUGGUAUCGAGAGAACGGAUUGGGUCUUCUGGAUCCACCUACAUUAGUCAAUCCCUUGAUGAGCGGAAAUGCCGAGUUGAUGAGAGCGAAGAUGUCCGGUGGUACCACCAAUGGUCUAUCGGAACUGCAAGCUUCCGACCCUUCC